rnacentral:rRNA from 1 species
AUUGAACGCUGGCGGCAGGCCUAACACAUGCAAGUCGAGCGGAUGAAGGGAGCUUGCUCCUGGAUUCAGCGGCGGACGGGUGAGUAAUGCCUAGGAAUCUGCCUGGUAGUGGGGGAUAACGUCCGGAAACGGGCGCUAAUACCGCAUACGUCCUGAGGGAGAAAGUGGGGGAUCUUCGGACCUCACGCUAUCAGAUGAGCCUAGGUCGGAUUAGCUAGUUGGUGGGGUAAAGGCCUACCAAGGCGACGAUCCGUAACUGGUCUGAGAGGAUGAUCAGUCACACUAGAACUGAGACACAGUCCAGACUCCUACGGGAGGCAGCAGUGGGGAAUAUUGGACGAUGGGCGAAAGCCUGAUCCAGCCAUGCCGCGUGUGUGAAGAAGGUCUUCGGAUUGUAAAGCACUUUAAGUUGGGAGGAAGGGCAGUAAGUUAAUACCUUGCUGUUUUGACGUUACCUACAGAAUAAGCACCGGCUAACUUCGUG